rnacentral:misc_RNA from 1 species
AUGUGAUAAGUAAUGUGAAUUGCAGAAUUCAGUGAAUCAUCGAAUCUUUGAACGCAUCUUGCACUCCUUGGUAUUCCGAGGAGUAUGUCUGUUUGAGUGUCAUGAAUUCUUCAACCCUCUCUUUUCUUAGUGAUUAGAGAGGAGUUUGGAUUCUGAGUGUUGCUCCUAACCCGAGCUCAUUCGUAAUGUAUUAGCAUCCAUAUUCGAAUUUCGGAUUGACUUGGCGUAAUAGACUAUUCGCUGAGGAAUCUAACUUCGGUUAGAGCCGUGUUUGAACUAGGAAGCUACUAAUCUAGCUUAGUCUACUUUUAGAUUAGACCUCAAAUCAGAUAGGAUUACCCGCUGAACUUAA